AUACGGAGGAUCCGAGCGUUAUCCGGAUUUAUUGGGUUUAAAGGGUGCGCAGGCGGGAGAUUAAGUCGGCGGUGAAAUUUUUCAGCUCGACUGGAAAAGUGGCCUCGGAACUGGGUUCCUUUAGUGUAGAUGAAGUAGGCGGAAAUUUGGGGGUAGCGGGGAAAUGCAUAGAUAUCACGAGGAACUCCGAUUGCGCAGGCAGCUUACUAAACUACUACUGACGCUCAGGCACGAAGGCGUGGGGAUCAAACAGGAUUAGAUACCCUGGUAGUCCACGCAGUAAACGAUGAUUACUAGCUGUUUGCGAUACAAUGUAAGCGGCUGAGCGAAAGCGUUAAGUAAUCCACCUGGGGAGUACGUUCGCAAGAAUGAAACUCAAAUGAAUUGGCGGGG
rnacentral:rRNA from 1 species